rnacentral:rRNA from 1 species
GAACGAGAGUUUUUACUCUAGUGGCGGACGGGUGAGUAAUACGUGAGAAUCUGCCCUUAGGAGGAGAAUAACGGCUGGAAACGGCCGCUAACUCUGCAUAUGCCGAGAGGUGAAAUAGUUUUUACUGCCUAGGGAUGAGCUCGCGCCUGAUUAGCUUGUUGGUGAGGUAAUGGCUUACCAAGGCCACGAUCAACCUCUGGUUUGAGAGAAUGAUCAGCCACCCUGGGACUGAGACACGGCCCAGACUCCUCCGGGAGGCAGCAGUGAGGAAUUUUCCGCAAUGGGCGAAAGCCUGACGGAGCAAUACCGCGUGAGGGAAUAAGGAUCUUGGUCUGUAAACCUCUUUUCUCAAGAAAAAAGUUCUGACGGUACUUGAGGAAUAAGCAUCGGCUAACUCCGUGCCAGCAGCCGCGGUAAUACGGGGGAUGCAAGCGUUAUCCGGAAUCAUUGGGCGUAAAGCGCCUGUAGGUUGUUUAAUAAGUCUGUUGUUAAAGACUAGGGCUUAACCCUGGAAAAGCAAUGGAAACUACUAGACUUGAGUAUGGCAGGGGUAGGGGGAAUUUCUAGUGUAGCGGUGAGAUGCGUAGAUAUUAGAAAGAACACCGGUGGCGAAAGCGCCCUACUGGACCAUCACUGACACUGAGAGGCGAAAGCUAGGGGAGCAAAAGGGAUUAGAUACCCCUGUAGUCCUAGCCGUAAACGAUGGAUACUAGAUGUUGUGCUCUUUUGUGCAGUGUCGCAGCUAACGCGUUAAGUAUCCCGCCUGGGGAGUACGCUCGCAAGGGUGAAACUCAAAGGAAUUGACGGGGGCCCGCACAAGCGGUGGAGCAUGUGAUUUAAUUCGAUGCAACGCGAAGAACCUUACCAGGGCUUGACAUACUACAGAUCUUUUUUGAGAAGAAAGAGUGCCUUCGGGGA